CGAACCUUGUAUAGUAAAAGCACCGAGGUGUGCGAAAGGUGAUCAAUAACCGUCAAUAUGCAGGACGACGUUUUAAUAAGAGUGUAAGCCUGAGAUCUUGGGGCCCAGUUUAUGACUCCGCGACACAGGACGUCACUUCGACGCUCUUACUGCUUGCUCUUUAUUACCACUUGUCUCUAUCUCUUUCCACCCUCCCUCGCUUUCAUACACUAUUCUCUUGUAUAUGUUUCUUCCUUUUCUCCGUCCUGUCUCUAUCUUUGUCUCCCUUGCAGUGUUCUCACGCGAAUUUAUUAUUUAUAAAGCUAAAGGAGCAUGUAUCUCCUCGAGCGUAUUCUAACUUGCCCGUCUGACUUUCAGCUUUGCAACAAAACUCUUACGAAGCCUUAGUCGACUCGUUUCAUGAUUCUUGAUCAUUUUUUCGCCAAAAAAUGUCUACUCUCUCGUGUCUUUCUUAUCCUGUUUUCAAUUUCACGAGUGCAUGCAAUGUCUUAAGCUAGAUGUCACUCUGAGAGGUUUGGAAAUCGUAUUUGCGCGCUUCGAAUGCGCAACAUAUCGUAAUGGACAGAUGUAUCCCAGUGAAGAGUCGUUUUAUCUUUGAAAGCUUGGGUCGAAAUUCAUUUAACGGAACCGCAGAUUUGAUCGAUCAUGUUAAAUGUAUUUCUCGUUCCGUGAUGCUGAUUAGAUUAUUGUAAAAGCUUUGGAUUAUCUGAAGUGGCAACAUAUGUCGAACAUUUCCGGGAGUUCAAGUGGCUUGCACGCGGCCUGCUAUAUGGAUGUUAAUUUUUAUCGGCAACUUCGAUAGACCGGCCGGCUCGAGUAACUCGCGUAACGAGAGAAGUUAAACGGGAGUACAACAACGCGUUCUUGUAAACGUAUGCAUUCACCAGGAAGUCGAGGCCGCUAGGAUGCGCCUGUGUCGACUACGCCAAGUAAACCCAAAGUCCCGGCUUUCUGUUCCGGCGCGUGAGACGGGUGAGGGGUAACAAAGCGGAGGAGAGUUUUGGCACGAGCCAGAUGUCGAGCGGAUCCGUAACGAAACCGAGAAAAGAAAGGAAGGAAAAGAAAAUAGGAGGAAAAUCGUGACGAGCAGAGAAUCGAGGCGACGAAUCGACGGCCAUAGAAAGCCUGCUGGUAAAUUUGAAGAGAAUGGAAAGACGAUCGCGAGCAUCGAACCGGAAACACGUCGAGCAAAGGGAAUCGAAGCGACAGACGACAAGGUGGCAAUUGCAAAGGAGACGAUCGGCAGUAGCAGCCAGUCUGAUAAACGCUCUACUCUAUUAACUCUUCCCCCUGUAUUCUCUUCUUUCUUUCCCUUUUCCCUCUUUUUCUUUUGCACAGGUUAACGCGACUAAUGGCGAUAGGAUAACGGAGGCAAAAAACCUGGACAAAAAUUCGUGUCGCGGGUACGGUAAACGGAACGUCGGACAAAGAAACGGAGAAGAGCGACGCUUCCGGUGCAGUGGAGUCCUUCUGACGCGUGUCCGGUUGGUUGUUCUGUGACGACGACGCGCAAACAAUGACGAGGGUUACGUAACAGCUAUGCACGAGAGAGGCAGCGUUCUCUGCUUGCGCUUCGCGCAAUUCUCCCGUGCAGGGUGGCCAAUGAGCAGUAACAGGAACGCCGCUAGCGAACCGCAGUCCCGUGAACGCUCAAACAAUGCGUAUCAUACUCGGCCGACUUGCCUGAAAAUCCGUCUGUCGUCGAUCGGUUCACCUUCUCUUGUCCAACAGAUUUUACCGCCUACGAAAUAUCAGACAAGUCUGAAUUCAACUUCAAAGGGAAACUAAUACGAUAUAGAGGAAUUUAUAGGGUGCUUGAAGCAGCAAUUUUCUGUAAAUAGUACCUUUUGUCUCUUUUUCACAACGAAACUUGGUCUACAGAGAGCAAACAACGUCGUGAACGAAAUUGUUUUCUGGUGGCCGGACAGAAAGACACGAACACCGUUAGCCAGGGCACGUUCAAAGUCGUAAUCUCGUGGGUUCCAGAUAUUUUCUCGUGACCGCAAAACAAGAGGAGGCAGCGGUUGCUUGGACGAGCGAAUGCAUCGGGCUGCUCGGUCCAACCGACGGGAUUGUCCUUCAUUACGCACGAAGGAAAGUGCAGUCAUCG